rfam:Spironucleus salmonicida unplaced genomic scaffold scf7180000020674, whole genome shotgun sequence.
ACCAAUUUGGCCGAGUGGUUAAGGCGGGUGACUCAAGAUCUCCUGGGGGCUAACUCCGCGUGGGUUCAAAUCCCACAGUUGGUA